CGAGCCACCGGGAUUACAGGCAAACACCACCACACCCAGCUGGAAUUGUGUUUUUUACUUUUAGGUGGUUUCCGUACCAUCGAAAGCUUUAUACAGACCCUCGUGCAUAUAUCCCAGUGCCAGCAUGCAAUUACUUAUUGCGGAUGACUCUCUAGGACUGCAAUCGCAGGGCCAGCCACCAUGAGGCGAAUGGCCUCCUGCACCAAGUGCUCCCACCAGGAUGCCACAGGCCCCAAGCAGCAGUCAAGCCAGCACAGACGGAAACCUAUGAAGCCAUAAGCCAAAACAAACCUUCCCUUCUUAUAAAUUCAUUAUCUCGAGCAUUUGUCACAGUAACAGAAAACUGACUAACACACAGCUACUCGGAGUCUGAGGCA